rnacentral:rRNA from 1 species
CCUACGGGUGGCAGCAGUGGGGAAUAUUGCUCAAUGGGGGAAACCCUGAUGCAGCGACGCCGCGUGAAGGAAGAAGUCCUUCGGUAUGUAAACUUCUAUCAGCAGGGAAGAAAAUGACGGUACCUGACUAAGACGACCCGGCUAACUACGUGCCAGCAGCCGCGGUAAUACGUAGGGGGCAAGCGUUAUCCGGAUUUACAGGGUGUAAAGGGAGCGUAGGGGGGGAUGCAAGUCAGAAGUGAAAGCCCGGGGCUCAAGUCCGGGACUGCUUUUGAAACUGUGUUGCUAGAUUGCAGGAGAGGUAAGUGGAAUGCGUGGUGUAGCGGUGAAAUGCGUAGAUAUUAGGCAGAACACCGGUGGCGAAGGCGGCUUACUGGUCUGUGAAUGACGCUGAGGCUCGAAAGCGUGGGGAGCAAACAGGAUUAGAUACCCUAGUAGUC